rnacentral:rRNA from 1 species
ACACUCCUACGGGAGGCAGCAGUGGGGAAUAUUGCACAAUGGGCGCAAGCCUGAUGCAGCCAUGCCGCGUGUAUGAAGAAGGCCUUCGGGUUGUAAAGUACUUUCAGCGGGGAGGAAGGCAAUACGGUUAAUAACCGUGUUGAUUGACGUUACCCGCAGAAGAAGCACCGGCUAACUCCGUGCCAGCAGCCGCGGUAAUACGGAGGGUGCAAGCGUUAAUCGGAAUUACUGGGCGUAAAGCGCACGCAGGCGGUCUGUCAAGUCGGAUGUGAAAUCCCCGGGCUCAACCUGGGAACUGCAUUCGAAACUGGCAGGCUUGAGUCUUGUAGAGGGGGGUAGAAUUCCAGGUGUAGCGGUGAAAUGCGUAGAGAUCUGGAGGAAUACCGGUGGCGAAGGCGGCCCCCUGGACAAAGACUGACGCUCAGGUGCGAAAGCGUGGGGAGCAAACAGGAUUAGAUACCCCAGUAGUCCCAUG